rnacentral:rRNA from 1 species
AUGGGGUGCAGCAGGGGCGAAACCUCCGCAAUGCGGGCAACCGUGACGGGGUAACCCCGAGUGCCGGCUGGGGUAUCCUGGCCGGCUUUUCCGGGGUCUAAAAAGCCCCGGGAAUAAGCGGGGGGCAAGGCGCGUGCCAGCCGCCGCGGUAACACGUCGCCCCGCGAGUGGUGCCCACGAAUAUUGGGCCUAAAGCGCCCGUAGCCGGCCUGGUAAGUCCCCGGUUAAAUCGGCGGGCCUAACCCGUCGGCUGCCGGGGAUACUGCCAGGCUCGGGACCGGGAGAGGCCGGGGGUAGCCCCGGGGUAGGGGCCAAAUCCUGUAAUCCCGGGGGGACCACCUGUGGCGAAGGCGCCCGGCCAGAACGGGUCCGACGGUGAGGGGCGAAAGCUGGGGGAGCGAACCGGAUUAGAGACCCGGGUAGUCCCAGCCGUCAACGAUGCGGGCUAGGUGUUGCAGGGGCUUAGGGCCCCUGCAGCGCCGUAGGGAAGCCGUUAAGCCCGCCGCCUGGGGAGUACGGCCGCAAGGCUGAAACCUAAAGGAAUUGGCGGGGGAGCAC